rnacentral:misc_RNA from 1 species
GAUGAAGAACGUAGCGAAAUGCGAUACGUAAUGUGAAUUGCAGAAUUCAGUGAAUCAUCGAAUCUUUGAACGCAUAUUGCGCUCUCUGGUAUUCCGGAGAGCAUGCUUGUUUGAGUAUCAGUAAACACCUCAACUUCCAUAUCUUUUUUGAAAUGGGAGUUGGACUUGAGUGAUCCCAACGCUUUUCCUCACCGAAAAGUGGCGGGUUACUUGAAAUGCAGGUGCAGCUGGACUUUUCUCUGAGCUAUAAGCAUAUCUAUUUAGUCUGCCUAAAAAACAGAUUAUUACCUUUGCUGCAGCUAACAUAAAGGAGAUUAGUUCUUGUGCUGACUGAUGCAGGAUUCACAAAGACAGCUUCGGCCGACUUUGUAAACUCGAUCUCAAAUCAAGUAAGACUACCCGCUGAACUUAAGAAUAUCAAUAAGCGGAGGA